UUGAAAUUAAUUUUCAAAUAUUUACAGUCAUUUGUUUGUUGGUUCAUACCCAAAUAUAACAAUAUAAAUAUAAAAUUGAGAAAAUGUGGUAUGAUUGCCAAUGAGACAAACUAUCCACCAGAGUUAAAAUGAAGUGUUAGUAAGCAAUUAUAGACCACAGUACAGCCAGUUUAUUUACAGCAAACAAAAUUACAGAAGUGAUCAAAUAUUUUGUACCGCUUAAUAUUCCAC
rnacentral:lncRNA from 1 species